rnacentral:rRNA from 1 species
CAAUAGCGUAUAUUAAAGUUGUUGCAGUUAAAAAGCUCGUAGUUGGAUUUCGGGGCAGCCUGGCUGGUCCGCCGCAAGGCGAGUACUGGUCAGCCGCCCUUCCUCUCGAAAGCCCCGACUGCUCUUUAUUGCAGUGGUCGGGUAGUUCGGGACGUUUACUUUGAAAAAAUUAGAGUGUUCAAGGCAGGCCUACGCCUGAAUACAUUAGCAUGGAAUAAUGGAAGAGGACCUCGGUCCUAUUUUGUUGGUUUCCAGGACCGAAGUAAUGAUUAAGAGGGACAGUUGGGGGCAUUCGUAUUUAAUUGUCAGAGGUGAAAUUCUCGGAUUUAUGGAAGACGAACAACUGCGAAAGCAUUUGCCAAGGAUGUUUUCAUUAA